rnacentral:rRNA from 1 species
UACGAGUGCCUCAAGCGUUAUCCGGAAUCAUUGGGCGUAAAGGAUGUGUAGGUGGUUGUGUUAGUCUUGUGUUAAAUUCUUCGGCUUAACCGGGGGCAUGCACGGGAAACGGCACGACUAGAGGAUGCGAGGGGUCUGCGGAACUCAUAGUGUAGCGGUAAAAUGCGUUGAUAUUAGUGGGGAACACCAAAAGCGAAGGCAGCAGACUGGAGCACUCCUGACACUGAAACAUGAAAGCGUGGGUCGCGAAUGGG